rnacentral:rRNA from 1 species
CAGCAGCCGCGGGAAUACAGAUGGUGCGAGCGUUAAUCGGAUUUACUGGGCGUAAAGCGUGCGUAGGCGGCUUCUUAAGUCGGAUGUGAAAUCCCUGAGCUUAACUUAGGAAUUGCAUUCGAUACUGGGAAGCUAGAGUAUGGGAGAGGAUGGUAGAAUUCCAGGUGUAGCGGUGAAAUGCGUAGAGAUCUGGAGGAAUACCGAUGGCGAAGGCAGCCAUCUGGCCUAAUACUGACGCUGAGGUACGAAAGCAUGGGGAGCAAACAGGAUUAGAUACCCGAGUAGUCCCUGUCUCUUAUAC